GACGAACGCUGGCGGCGUGCUUAACACAUGCAAGUCGAACGGAAAGGCCCUGCUUUUGUGGGGUGCUCGAGUGGCGAACGGGUGAGUAACACGUGAGUAACCUGCCCUUGACUUUGGGAUAACUUCAGGAAACUGGGGCUAAUACCGGAUAGGAGCUCCUGCUGCAUGGUGGGGGUUGGAAAGUUUCGGCGGUUGGGGAUGGACUCGCGGCUUAUCAGCUUGUUGGUGGGGUAGUGGCUUACCAAGGCUUUGACGGGUAGCCGGCCUGAGAGGGUGACCGGCCACAUUGGGACUGAGAUAAGCCCAGACUCCUACGGGAGGCAGCAGUGGGGAAUAUUGCACAAUGGGCGGAAGCCUGAUGCAGCAACGCCGCGUGCGGGAUGACGGCCUUCGGGUUGUAAACCGCUUUCGCCUGUGACGAGGCGUGAGUGACGGUAAUGGGUAAAGAAGCACCGGCUAACUACGUG
rnacentral:rRNA from 1 species